rnacentral:misc_RNA from 1 species
AUAACACAUCACGAGAAACGUGAAAUUUGAGUAAAUAACAAAUGAUUCUACCCAAAAUAGAGAAUGUGAUUUGAUUUAAAUACCGGAGAUAACUCGCAAUAGGCCUCUAGUGGCUGGUGUUUCCCCAGCCUCAGUAACAACUAAUCUGAUCAUUUCUCAUGCCUGCUAUCAUACUUGUCUCUGAUGCAGUUUAAUCUACAUCCAUCCCAUCUUCCCUUUUAUUUCUGGGGUUUAAACCUGAACCAUCCUCAGUCUUUUGGGGCGAUGACUUGUGCCUCGUUACAUGCUUACACAUCGCUUCAAAAGCCUCGGUCUUUCUCUUGAUUUCAGUAGACCACAAUACUGGAUCAGCACUUCUGGGCAAUGUCUCCUGCUGGUGGGAUUUAUCUCGAAGCCACUGCUCUGCUUUAUGGCAUUCAUUAGUGACAGCUUCUUUCUCACUGGCUGGAAGUGAUCCUGCAGCCAUUCGAUGUUCCACAAUGGUAUUUAAUAGAUGUCGUGUUGCUUGUGCCCGCGCCUCUUCUUCCUUAUAUCGAUGCUCCACAGGGUCCACCAUCUUUUUAAGAUCCUCCAGCUUCUCUGCAUAAACUUGUUCAGACUCAUCAUCUCCAUCUUCAUAGAGCCAUUCUUCAGUCUGUUGUAGAUUACAAGAGAUACCCUCCCUCUCCGAAUCCGUAGCAAAGCUCCGGUAGGUAUUCAAAAGCUUAUUACGAGUUUCAUAGACGUAUGCCUCCAGGGUGUUUUUCUUGUCUUUAGUUCGCUCCACCUUUAUGUCUUGCUCCGUUAACUGGCGUUCCUUUUCCUUAGCUUGGGAUAGCUCCAUGAGGGUCAUUCCACCAUCAACACUUCCACUGACAGGAAUAUCCUGUCUCUUAACGGCCUUACUUUUCCUUGUAUCAUCUCCCUCCAUAUUUUCUGCAUAAGUAUCAAUAUUAUUUUCCGACGUAGAAUGACUUGAUUGAUCUUUGAUCAGCCAAGCCGAUUCUACUGUAACAACACCAUGGAGGUUUAA